ACGACGAUAUCACGCUGAAACACAGGUUCCCGAACAAUCACCGAAGUUAAGCAAUGUCGAAUCUGGUCAGUACCUAGAUGGGUGACAGCACGGGAAUACCAGGUGCUGUAAG